rnacentral:misc_RNA from 1 species
GAUGAAGAACGCAGCGAAAUGCGAUAAGUAAUGCGAAUUGCAGAAUUCAGUGAGUCAUCGAAUCUUUGAACGCACAUUGCGCCCUGUGGUAUUCCGCAGGGCAUGCCUGUCCGAGCGUCAUUGCUGCCCUCAAGCACGGCUUGUGUGUUGGGCCUCCGCCCCCCGGCUCCCGGGGGGCGGGCCCGAAAGGCAGCGGCGGCACCGCGUCCGGUCCUCGAGCGUAUGGGGCUUCGUCACCCGCUCCGUAGGCCCGGCCGGCGCCCGCCGGCGACCCCCCUCAAUCUUUCCAGGUUGACCUCGGAUCAGGUAGGGAUACCCGCUGAACUUAAGCAUAUCAAUAAGCGGAGGA